UACGUAGGGUGCGAGCGUUGUCCGGAAUUAUUGGGCGUAAAGAGCUCGUAGGCGGUGUGUCACGUCGGCCGUGAAAACCUGCAGCUUAACUGUGGGCGUGCGGUCGAUACGGGCAUCACUGGAGUUCGGCAGGGGAGACUGGAAUUCCUGGUGUAGCGGUGAAAUGCGCAGAUAUCAGGAGGAACACCGGUGGCGAAGGCGGCUAUCUGGACAGAAACUGACGCUGAGGCGCGAAAGCUAGGGGAGCAAACAGG
rnacentral:rRNA from 1 species